UGGUGCAGUAGGUAGCAUGUCAGUCUCUCAAGCUGAAGGUCCCAAGUUCGAUCCUCGG
rnacentral:tRNA from 1 species